UACGGAGGGUCCGAGCGUUAUACGGAAUCAUUGGGUUUAAAGGGUCCGUAGGCGGGACAUUAAGUCAGGGGUGAAAUGUUGCAGCUCAACUGCAGAAUGGCCUUUGAUACUGGUGUUCUUGAGUUAUGUUGCUGUGGUCGGAACAUGUGGUGUAGCGGUGAAAUGCAUAGAUAACACAUAGAACGCCGAUUGCGAAGGCGGGGCACAAAGCAUAUACUGACGCUGAGGGACGAAAGCGUGGGGAGCGAACGGG
rnacentral:rRNA from 1 species